ensembl:snRNA U6 U6 spliceosomal RNA
GUGCUUGCUUCGGCAGCACAUCUAUUAGAAUUGGAAUGCUGCAGAGAUUAGCCUGGCACCUGUACAAGGAUGACACACCGAUUCCUGAAAAAGAAUUUUCAUUC